GACAUAUCUAGAAUCGUUUCAAAUUAAAACGUAUGGUUCAAGAGUCGACAUAUCUAGAAUCGUUUCAAAUUAAAACGUAUGGUUCAAGAGUCGACAUAUCUAGAAUCGUUUCAAAUUAAAACGUAUGGUUCAAGAGUCGACAUCUAGAAUCGUUUCAAAUUAAAACGUAUGUUCAAGAGUCGACCAUAUAGAAUCGUUUCAAAUUAAAAUCGUUCAAGAGUCGACAUAUCUGAAU
rnacentral:lncRNA from 1 species